rnacentral:rRNA from 1 species
AGAGUUUGAUCCUGGCUCAGAACGAACGCUGGCGGCGUGCUUAACACAUGCAAGUCGAGUGCGCGUGCUUGUAGCAAUACAGCAGGCCGGCGCACGGCGCACGGGUGCGUAACACGUGGGUAACCUGCCCUCCAAAGGGGGAUAACCCGCCGAAAGGCGGGCUAAUACCGCAUGACAUUCCGGUGACCUCGCGUCGCCGCCGGAAUUCAAAGCCCGCUAUAGGGGCGCUUGGGGGGGAAGGGGGCCCCCCGCGGCCCCAAUUAACCCUGGUUGGGCCAAAGGUUGACCGGCCUCACCCAGGGGCCUUGAAUUCGGUAGCCCGGUCUGAGAGGAUGGCCGGCCACACUGGAACUGAGACACGGUCCAGACUCCUACGGGAGGCAGCAGUGGGGGAAUCUUGGCGCAAUGGGGCGAAAAGCCCUGAACGCCAGCCGAACGCC